CCCUUAGAUGUUCUGGGCCGCACGCGCGCUACACUGUUCGACGCAGCGAGUCUUAACCUUGACCGAAAGGUUUGGGUAAUCUUCAGCAAAGUCGAACGUGAUGGGGAUCGAUCAUUGCAAUUAUUGAUCGUGAACGAGGAAUUCCUAGUAAGUGCAAGUCAUCAGCUUGCGCUGAUUACGUCCCUGCCCUUUGUACACACCGCCCGUCGCUACUACCGAUUGAAUGGUUUAGUGAGAUCUCUGGAUUGACGCUGGCUAGGGGGCGACCCUUGGCCAGACUGUUGAGAAACUGCUCAGACUUGAUCAUUUAGAGGAAGUAAAAGUCGUAACA
rnacentral:rRNA from 1 species